GGCGUCAGGUCCGGAAGGAAGCAGCGCC
rnacentral:SRP_RNA from 1 species